rnacentral:rRNA from 1 species
AGAAUCAACGCUGGCGGCGUGCCUAACACAUGCAAGUCGCACGAGAAAGGGGAGCAAUCCCUGAGUAAAGUGGCGCACGGGUGAGUAACACGUGAAUAAUCUACCUCCGAGUGGGGAAUAACUGAGAGAAAUCUUAGCUAAUACCGCAUAAUACCUACGGGUCAAAGGAGCAAUUCGCUUAAGGAGGGGGUCGCGGCAGAUUAGCUAGUUGGCGGGGUAAUGGCCCACCAAGGCAGUGAUCUGUA